rfam:Spizellomyces punctatus DAOM BR117 chromosome Tnknown supercont1.4, whole genome shotgun sequence.
GGCGAGAUGGCCGAGUUGGUCUAAGGCGUCAGGUUAAGGCCCUGAUCUCUCCGGAGGCGUGGGUUCAAAUCCCACUCUCGUCA